rnacentral:rRNA from 1 species
UGCCAGCAGCCGCGGUAAUACGAAGGGGGCUAGCGUUGUUCGGAAUCACUGGGCGUAAAGCGCACGUAGGCGGAUUUGUAAGUUAGGGGUGAAAUCCCGGGGCUCAACCUCGGAACUGCCUUUGAUACUGCAGAUCUAGAGUCCGAGAGAGGUGAGUGGAAUUCCCAGUGUAGAGGUGAAAUUCGUAGAUAUUGGGAGGAACACCAGUGGCGAAGGCGGCCAUCUGGACGGUGACUGACGCUGAGACGCGAAAGCGUGGGGAGCAAACAGGAUUAGAUA